rnacentral:tRNA from 1 species
UUAUUAAUAGUUAAAGCAGAUAACGCUAAAAUGCAAUUUUAGAAUUGAUUAACUUGAUCUUAAUAAA